rnacentral:miRNA from 1 species
AGGCAUGCACCUGGAGUGUGUG